rnacentral:rRNA from 1 species
GACGAACGCUGGCGGCGUGCUUAACACAUGCAAGUCGAACGGUAAGGCCCUUCGGGGUACACGAGUGGCGAACGGGUGAGUAACACGUGGGUGAUCUGCCCUGCACUUCGGGAUAAGCCUGGGAAACUGGGUCUAAUACCGGAUAGGACUCCUGGCUUCAUGGUUGGGGGUGGAAAGCUUUUGCGGUGUGGGAUGGGCCCGCGGCCUAUCAGCUUGUUGGUGGGGUAAUGGCCUACCAAGGCGACGACGGGUAGCCGGCCUGAGAAGGUGACCAGGCACACUGGGCGUGAGAUACGGCCCAGACUCCUACGGGAGGAAGCAGUGGGGAAUAUUGCACAAUGGGCGCAAGCCUGAUGCAGCGACGCCGCGUGAGGGAUGACGGCCUUCGAGUUGUAAACCUCUUUCAGCAUCGACGAAGCGAAAGUGACGGUAGGUGCAGAAGAAGGACCGGCCAACUACGUGCCAGCAGCCGCAGUAA